CAUUCUAACAUCUAAUUGUUUAUCAUGAUUUUGAACUCCAUUCCAAUGCGUUAUGCAUAUAUUUAUAUAAAUAUAUUUUCUUGAAUUAUUGCUGUAAUUUGCAUAUUUAUCGUGUGUGAUUUUAAUGAACCCAAACCCUAGAUUUUGGGGCUUUCUAAUUUCUGUUCAAGGGUUUUAAUUUUUGGUUUGGGAUUCUUAAUGAUUUUAUCUGAUUAUUUUUAAUUUUGUGGAUGUGGUUUUUGCUGUUAUAGCUUUGAUCUUAUAGUUUGAUGUCUGGGUUUUCUUUGGUUUUAUUGUUUAAAUUAGAUAUUGAUGAAUUUCCAAGGAUUAUGUGAUGAGUUAUGGAUUGUUAUAAUUUGGCCUUUAACAGACACUGGGUUGUAAAUCUCUAAAUUGAAGAUUGAACUUGGAAGAAAAUCUGGUGUUCUUGUUUGGUGGAUUCAGUUCUGGUUUUUUAGGACUUAAUUUGUAGAGUUUAUUAGGUAAAUGUCAUAAACUAACUCAUUUAGCCAAAUUCAAAACAAACUUAUUACCUAAGGCUUCUCUCUGAUCUCUGUAUUCUGUUUGAAAUUUAUUUCAGAAGAAACAUAGAGAAAAUACAUAUCCAACACUCAAUACCAAUGUACAAUUAUAAGCCCCCCACAUAGUUGUAGAAAACUCUCGAUUUACGCCACCCUUCUAAGCCGAAGAAACCAGCCAACCGUUUGUACAAAAUGCUGAAGUCCAAAAUCACUCUUUUCUUAUUCACUGCCACAUCCACUGGCCUUACUUUCCAAACCUACUUCAAUUCUCAUUAUUCUUCAUUUUCUCCCGAGUCCUCUAUCUUCCCCGAGAAAAUCCGUGCCACAAUUCAUGGGAUUCUUCGCUCCUCUCGUGCAAUCUUUGCUAUCACUCUUACUGCCGUCGACUACAAGUUUUCUUUGCGUAGAUCACCAAUGGACUCUGAUGAUUAUCGGCGUAAAUUAUCUGAGGUUCACUUGCGCUCGGCUGAGAGAAUUUUGAAACUAUGUGAAGCCAAUAAAGGCUUCUAUGUAAAGGCUGGUCAACUUGUUGCCGCUUUGCGAAACGUUCCAAAAGAAUACUCAUUGACUCUAUCUGUGUUACAAGAUCAGGCAGUACCUUACCCUUUUGAAGCUAUCAAAAAGGUACUAAUUUACAACCUGAGACAGGAUUUGUCAGAAAUAUUUUCAUCGUUUGAUGAAAACCCAAUUGCUGCUGCAUCUAUUGCUCAAGUGCACCGCGCUGUUUUGAAGGAUGGUCAAGAAUUAGCAAUCAAGGUUCAGUACCCUGGGUUGUUGCAGCAGUUGAAUAUAGAUAUAGCAACCAUGUCGUUCCUUUCAACAUCUGUUUCGUGGUUUUUCCCUGAUUACAGGUUUGAUUGGUUGGUUUCAGAAUUUGUGAAAGACAUAAUUGUUGAAUUGGAUUUCAUUCAAGAGGCUAGAAAUUCUGAGAGAACCGCCCGUAAUUUCAAAAACAACAACACGCUCAAGAUUCCUCGUGUGUUUUGGGAUUUGACAACCGAUCAGGUUCUGACUAUGCAAUUCUGUAGAGGACAGAAGGUUGAUGACGUGGUAUAUAUGAAAGAGCAUGGAAUUGAUCCAACCAAGGUAGCAAAAGCAUUGGUGGAAAUAUUUGCUGAGAUGAUUUUCGUCCAUGGUUUUGUGCAUGGUGAUCCUCACCCUGGUAACAUAUUAGUUUGUCCAGUAGGUCCACAUGGGUUUUCCCUGGUUCUAUUAGAUCAUGGAAUAUAUAAACAGUUAGACGAAGGAUUCAGGUUAAAAUAUUGUGAACUUUGGAGAGCUCUGCUUAUUGCAGACUCGAAUAAAAUUAAGCUAUUGGGGGAACAAUUCGGUGUUGCAAAGUACUUUAGAUACUUUCCAGUCAUCUUUACGGGGACAACUAUUGACAGUAAACGAGUUCUUGAUGGGAGAAUGUCAGCUGUGGAGAAAAGUAACUUGAAAAAGGAGCUGACUUCUCUAAAGAUGGAAGACAUAUCUUCAUUUAUGGAAUCUUUGCCACCCGAUUUCCUUAGAAUACUACGCACAGACGGUCUACUGAGAUCUGUAAUAAAGAAGUUGGGUGCUUCACAGCGGAUUGAAGAUGCGUGUCAGCUACCUUCAGUUAAGGCUCACUCUCGAGGUGCUAGAGUUGCUUCAUUGGGUGACACUUAUGGCCCCAAAACUAUUGAAGACCUGCUCUGGUCUUUUAACAAGAAUUUUUACUCUUUCUUAUCGAUGAUGAUUUAUUCUCGAAAGGGAUCUUAAUUUUACUUUUAUAGAGGAAAAUUCUUAUAUGGGGCCAUGUGUUUUUGCCCCUACCGAUAGAGAUUACACAAGUAUUCGAUUGAGUCAGAAGCUGUGUUGAAAUCACAAAAUUGUCAUUUUUAUUCUCAUUUUCAACCGAUUAACAGAAGAUAAUCAUACACCAUGGCUAGACCUGUGAGCUCUGCCACCAGAGCAGCUGUAGGUUCAUCGACUGCCACCAUUACAUUGGAGAAUCCGGAGGGAACAUCUUCUUCAUCGUCGUCUAGUCAGCCGCAGAAGUCAAAUACUCUAACGAUUCGCCUUAACCGAAAGAAAAAGCAAGUAACCUGGAAAGAAGGGACUGUGGACAACGAGUUUAUGCAGAAGAAAAGUUCGAAAAAAUGUUGUAUUUUCCAUAAACAGAAGCCUUUCGAUGAAGACGACAGUGAUCAAGAAUAUGAAGAUCACCACCACCACGACAAGGACGACAUUAAGGGAUGUUGUUUUAAUUAAGGAUCAUGAUUAGUUAUUUGUAAGUUUCUUUGAAUUGUAUCCGAAUUUAAUGCCCUAUUGAUUAAUUUUUUGGGAUUUUGUUUUUGGAUACUUUUAGCUUUGUACCUGAAAAUAAAAUGAAAAUAGAAAGAAUGAUGUCAUUGUAUU